GCGGGUAUGGUGGAAUUGGCAGACACGCUAGACUUAGGAUCUAGUGCCAUGUGCGUGGGGGUUCAAGUCCCUCUACCCGCA
rnacentral:tRNA from 1 species